rnacentral:rRNA from 1 species
AUGUUCGUCGAUGGUGCCGGUGAUGAGCGAGUUGACCGCUGCUCCACCGAAUGGGCCGGACAUUGGACUAGCCUCCACACGGGUUGGCAGGCUGGCCCGAGCGUGACUCGUAUCACACUGAGUGGCCUAAGCAAGCAUUUCUUCCAGCGCAAUUCCAGGGCGUUCAAAAGGGGCAUGUGGACGCGCUGCAAGAUACAGUCGGAGUGCGGCAUGCACGCGAUGCGACACAAGACCGGCAAUACCUUGCCAGUUAUGGACAGUGGCUGGCAGAUGGGCAACAAAAAGGUUUUGGUGCUGCACACCAAUGAGAACUUCAACCAGCAGAGGACCAACUGGGUGAUGCACCAGUACCACCUCGGGAACCUGGAGCAAGAGAAGGAGCGGGAGCUGGUCCUCUGCAAGAUUUUCUACCAGACGAACACUAGGGCCAGGAGUCGAGCAAGUUUCAACUGGGCUGUAGACUAUCCAGGCUUGGUUUUGUUUUUAAAAGGCCCAGCCCAUGAUGACAAUGGGGCACAAAGAUCCAGCAGCCCCAACGGCCUCGGCCUCAUCCUCUCCCUCCUCCUCUUGCAGCGGGUUCCACCCCCGCACUCUCAAAAGGAGGAUGAAGAUGCUACUGAGCAAAGGCUCUCGUCGCAAACACUGGGGCGCCACCGUGCCCUCGCCCUCCUGUCAUGA